UUCCUCCCAGAUCUCCCUACUCACCCAACCUUGUUUUCUGUCUGUCUCCAAAAAAGUUAAAAACAGAGACAAAAGCAAAGCAAAGCAAAUCAAAAAAAUCAAAACAAAACAAAUCAAAAUGAAACAAAUAGUCCACAAAAAUACCCUUGAGUUAGUUUGCUUUGUGUUGGCCAACUACUACUGGCACGGGGCUGCACUGAGUGUGGUUGGUAUAGCCAGUGAGAUUCUAUUUUUUGGAGUUGUAUCAGUUGCAGGUAGUUUCUUGGUUACGACUGGAAGCUUGUCUUAGUUGGUCUUAAUAUUGCUGUUUUGGCUUACACUUCCAUAUUGCUGUUCAUCAUCAAAGGAAGUUAGGACAGGAACCUGGAAGCAGGAACAAAUGCAGGCAUCAUGGAGACGUGCUGUUCCUCGUAACUAUUUCAAUCUGAUUCCCUAUGGAACCCAGUACCGCCAGUCCAGUGGUGACCUCACCCACAAUAGGCUGGGCCUUCCCACAAUAGUCACUAACUAAGAAAAUGUUCUUGGAAGGGCUGGAGAGAUGACUCAGUGCUCAAGGGCACUGACUGCUCUUCCAGAGGUCCUGAGUUCAAUUCCCAGCCACAUGGUGGCUCACAACCAUCUGUCAUGGGAUCUGAUGCCAUCUUCUGGUGUGUGUAAAGAGAAUGACCUUGUACAUUGUACUCACAUAUAUAAAAUAAAUAAAUCUUUUCUUUAAAAAUGUUCUAAGCCUAUCAAGAACAGACCACAUGUUCACCUUGCCCACUCAGUGUUGACCCACUGGCUGGAACCUGUGCAGGUCUUGGGCAUGCUGCCACAGUGUCUAAGUGCUAUAUGCAUCAUCAUGCUUGGCUUCUUUGUUUUCUUCGGAGCCUGUUCCUUUGUCCAUAUAGUAUCUACUGAUAAGGCACCUUUAAUGGUAAGAGGAUCUCUACACUAAACUUUGAAAUGAGAGUGAGAAUCACCAGAGAUUAAGGUGGACACAAUGGAAUGUGGACAGCCGCCAACAGUGAUGAUAGCAGGAGGCGAGGAGGGGCUCUGUUGCCUGUGCUCACUCGCAUCUGUGGCAUAGGACGAACCGUAGGCUGCCUUUAUGAGUAACCGCCAAGCCUUAUGAGGAAAGGUUUUCAGCAAACACUGUUAUGAGACUUAGACUGUCUAGGUUUAGUUACACCUGUGAACUUGCACAGUGUAAAGUAACAUUUCGUGGACAUUUGACUACAUGUUUCUUUGCCUUUAAUAGAAUUGACCUUUGUAUACAGUUAUGUAAAUUUUAAUUUUGAUUGCAUUUAACAACGACCUCACAAAAUUCUACAAAUUUACUGUUGGUACAAGUCAGGUCUAGCAUAUUCCUAGGUACAAACAGGAAUAAAGUAAUCAAAGGAAACCAAGCACUAAGGCUCACAUAUAACCCUAGCACUCAAUAGGCAAAGGGAGAAAGAGUAUCAUUAGGAAUCCAUGGAGAACCUAGGACACAAAAAGAAACCAAUCUC
rnacentral:lncRNA from 1 species